CCCUGGACAGGCGGUGGAAACUACCAAGCUGGAGUACGGUAGGGGCAGAGGGAAUUUCCGGUGGAGCGGUGAAAUGCAUUGAGAUCGGAAAGAACACCAACGGCGAAACGACUCUGCUGGGCCGACACUGACACUGAGAGACGAAAGCUAGGGGAGCAAAUGGGAUUAGAGACCCCAGUAGUCCUAGCCGUAAACGAUGGAUACUAGGUGCUGUGCGACUCGACCCGUGCAGUGCUGUAGCUAACGCGUUA
rnacentral:ncRNA from 1 species